GGUCUUGUAGUGUAGUGGUUAUCACUCGGGAUUUUGAUUCUGUUGAAUUUCCCGCGACUCAGGUUCGACUCCUGGCUAGACCU
rnacentral:tRNA from 1 species